UCUGUCUCUCUCCUCUCUUGCUCUCUGCCUCUCUCUAUGUCUCUCUCUCUGUCUCUCUGUCUCUCUCUCCUCUGUCUGUCUCCCUACCCGGUGUCUCCGCUGCGUCUGCAGAGCGCUACAUCCUGCACGGCAAGGAGACCCACGACAUCCUCCACAAGUUGACCGCCAGCGGCAAGAAGCUCUUCCUCAUCACAACAGCCCCUUCAGCUUCGUCGACAAGGGCAUGCGGUACAUGGUGGGGAAGGACUGGAGGGACCUCUUUGACGUGGUCAUCGUGAAGGCCGACAAACCGAGCUUCUUCAACGACAAGCGGAAACCGUUCCGCCGGCUGGACGCGCAGGGUGGACUCCAGUGGGACCGCAUCACGGCUCUGCACAAGGGCGAGGUGUACAAGCAGGGCAACCUGUACGAGUUCAUGCGGCUCACGGGCUGG